GUAGGGUGCAAGCGUUGUCCGGAAUUACUGGGCGUAAAGAGUUCGUAGGCGGUUUGUCGCGUCGUUUGUGAAAACCAGCAGCUCAACUGCUGGCUUGCAGGCGAUACGGGCAGACUUGAGUACUGCAGGGGAGACUGGAAUUCCUGGUGUAGCGGUGAAAUGCGCAGAUAUCAGGAGGAACACCGGUGGCGAGGGCGGGUCUCUGGGCAGUAACUGACGCUGAGGAACGAAAGCGUGGGUAGCGAACAGGAUUAGAUACCCUGGUAGUCCACGCCGUAAACGGUGGGCGCUAGGUGUGGGUUCCUUCCACGGAAUCCGUGCCGUAGCUAACGCAUUAAGCGCCCCGCCUGGGGAGUACGGCCGCAAGGCUA
rnacentral:rRNA from 1 species